rnacentral:rRNA from 1 species
CCUACGGGUGGCAGCAGUCGAGAAUUAUUCACAAUGGGCGAAACCCUGAUGGUGCGACGCCGCGUGGGGGAAUGAAGCUCUUCGGAUUGUAAACUCCUGUUAUGUGGGAGCAAAUUAAAAAGAUAGUACCACAAGAGGAAGAGCCGGCUAACUCUGUGCCAGCAGCCGCGGUCAUACGGCGGUCUCAAGCGUUGUUCGGAAUCAUUGGGCGUAAGGGGUGCGUUGUCGGGUUUGUAAGUCUGGUGUGAAAGGACGGGGCUCAACCGUGGGACGGCACAUGAUACUGGGGGACUGGAGUAAAGGAGGGGGAGGCGGAAUGCGCGGUGUAGCAGUGAAAUGCGUAGAUAUCACGAGGAACACUGGUGGCGAAGGCAGGUUCCUGGACAUUAACUGACGCUGAGGCACGAAAGCGAGGGGAGCAAAAAGGAUUAGAUACCCCAGUAGUC